GACGAACGCUGGCGGCGUGCCUAAUACAUGCAAGUCGAACGCAGUGGGGACGGGUGAGUAACACGUGGGUAACCUCCCAUCAGAGGGGAUAACACUUGGAAACAGGUGCUAAACCGAUACUGAUGGAUGGACCCGCGGUGCAUUAGCUAGUUGGUGAGGUAACGGCUCACCAAGGCGACGAUCCGUAGCUGGUGUGAGAGGACGACCAGCCACAGUGGGAUUGAGACCAGGCCAAGACUCCGACGGGAGGCAGCAGUGGGGAAUUUUGGACAAUGGGGGAAACCCUGAUCCAGCCAGCCCGCUUGUGCGAUGAAGGCCGUCGGGUUGUAAAGCACGUUUGGCAGGAAAGCGGUACCUGCAGAAUAAGCACCGGCUAACUACGUGCCAGCAGCCGCGGUAAUUC
rnacentral:rRNA from 1 species